GAUGAACGCUGGCGGCGUGCCUAAUACAUGCAAGUUGAGCGAACAGACGAGGAGCUUGCUCCUCUGACGUUAGCGGCGGACGGGUGAGUAACACGUGGAUAACCUACCUAUAAGACUGGGAUAACUUCGGGAAACCGGAGCUAAUACCGGAUAAUAUAUUGAACCGCAUGGUUCAAUAGUGAAAGACGGUUUUGCUGUCACUUAUAGAUGGAUCCGCGCCGCAUUAGCUAGUUGGUAAGGUAACGGCUUACCAAGGCAACGAUGCGUAGCCGACCUGAGAGGGUGAUCGGCCACACUGGAACUGAGACACGGUCCAGACUCCUACGGGAGGCAGCAGUAGGGAAUCUUCCGCAAUGGGCGAAAGCUUGACGGAGCAACGCCGCGUGAGUGAUGAAGGUCUUCGGAUCGUAAAACUCUGUUAUUAGGGAAGAACAAAUGUGUAAGUAACUAUGCACGUCUUGACGGUACCUAAUCAGAAAGCCACGGCUAACUACGUA
rnacentral:rRNA from 1 species